UUGCUAUCUUAGUGGCGGACGGGUGAGUAACGCGUGGGUAACCUGCCUUACACUGGGGGAUAACACUUAGAAAUAGGUGCUAAUACCGCAUAACAGUAGGAGACGCAUGUCUUUUACUUGAAAACUCCGGUGGUGUAAGAUGGACCCGCGUCUGAUUAGCUUGUUGGCGGGGUAACGGCCCACCAAGGCGACGAUCAGUAGCCGGCCUGAGAGGGUGAACGGCCACAUUGGGACUGAGACACGGCCCAAACUCCUACGGGAGGCAGCAG
rnacentral:rRNA from 1 species